AGCGAACGCUGGCGGCAGGCCUAACACAUGCAAGUCGAACGAAGUCUUCGGACUUAGUGGCGGACGGGUGAGUAACACGUGGGAACGUGCCUUUAGGUUCGGAAUAACUCAGGGAAACUUGUGCUAAUACCGAAUGUGCCCUUCGGGGGAAAGAUUUAUCGCCUUUAGAGCGGCCCGCGUCUGAUUAGCUAGUUGGUGAGGUAAAGGCUCACCAAGGCUACGAUCAGUAGCUGGUCUGAGAGGAUGAUCAGCCACACUGGGACUGAGACACGGCCCAGACUCCUACGGGAGGCAGCAGUGGGGAAUCUUGCGCAAUGGGCGAAAGCCUGACGCAGCCAUGCCGCGUGAAUGAUGAAGGUCUCAGGAUUGUAAAAUUCUUUUACCAGGGACGAUAAUGACGGUACCUGGAGAAAAAGCCCCGGCUAACUUCGUGCCAGCCGCCGCAGUAACAC
rnacentral:rRNA from 1 species